rnacentral:tRNA from 4 species
CGGCGAGUAGCUCAGUGGUAGAGCAGUGGCCCCAUAAGCCACCUCGCGCAGGUUCGAACCCUGCCUUGCCGACAA